GACGAACGCUGGCGGCGUGCUUAACACAUGCAAGUCGAGCGGUAAGGCCCUUUCGGGGUACGACGAGCGGCGAACGGGUGAGUAACACGUGGGUGACCUGCCCUCCAGCUCUGGGAUAAGCCUGGGAAACCGGGUCUAAUACUGGAUAUGACUCCAUGACGCAUGUUGUGGGGUGGAAAGCCUUGUGCGGCUGAGGAUGGGCCCGCGGCCUAUCAGCUUGUUGGUGGGGUGAGGCCUACCAAGGCGACGACGGGUAGCCGGCCUGAGAGGGCGACCGGCCACACUGGGACUGAGACACGGCCCAGACUCCUACGGGAGGCAGCAGUGGGGAAUCUUGCGCAAUGGGCGAAAGCCUGACGCAGCGACGCCGCGUGAGGGAU
rnacentral:rRNA from 1 species